rnacentral:rRNA from 1 species
CUGCCCUUCUAUCCCUUGGAUAGAUAGAGAGGGAGGGCAGGGCAGAGCUUUUGGUUUUUUCAUGUUGUCAAAGAGUUGAACAAUGGUUUUUCGUGUUGUCAAAGAUUUGAACAAUGAAAAUAGAUGGCGAGUGCCUGAUCGAAUUGAUCAGGUCAUGUAGGAACAAGGUUCAAGUCUACCGGUCUGUUAGGAUGCCUCAGCUGCAUACAUCACUGCACUUCCACUUGACACCUAUCGUAAUGAUAAACGGCUCGUCUCGCCGUGACCUUC